rnacentral:lncRNA from 1 species
UGCCAUAGAUCACAAUCUUGGAUUUCUCGUGGAGACCAUUUCUUGGUCAAAAAUCCGUACGUGUUAGCCUUCGGUAUUAUUGAAAAUGGUCGUUCAUGGCUGUUUUCGACAAAAAUGGGGGUUGUGUGGCCAUUGAUCAUCGACCAGAGGCUCAUACACCUCACCCCACAUACGUUUCCUUGCCAUAGAGCACACUCUUGGAUUUCUGGUGGAGACCAUUUCUUGGGCAAAAUCCAUACGUGUUAGCCUUCAGUAUUAUUGAAAAUGGUCGUUGAUCACUAUUUUCGACAAAAAAUGGGGGUUGUGUGGCCACUGAUCAUCGACCAGAGGCUCGUACACCUCACCCCAAUAUGUUUCCUUGCCAUAGAUCAUAUUCUUGGAUUUCUGGUGGAGACGAUUUCUUGGUCAAAAAUCCGUAGUGUUAGCCUUCGGUAUUAUUGAAAAUGGUCGUUCAUGGCUAUUUUCGACAAAAAUGGGGGUUGUGUGGCCAUUGAUCAUCGACCAGAGGCUCAUACACCUCACCCCACAUAUGUUUCCUUGCCAUAGAUCACAUUCUUGGAUUUCUGGUGGAGACCAUUUCUUGGUCAAAAAUCCGUAGGUGUUAGCCUUCGUAUUAUUGAAAAUGGUCGUUCAUGGCUAUUUUCGGCAAAAUGGGGGUUGUGUGGCCAUUGAUCAUCGACCAGAGGCUCAUACACCUCACCCCACAUAUGUUUCCUUGCCAUAGAUCACAUUCUUGGAUUUCUGGUGGAGACCAUUUCUUGGUCAAAAAUCCGUAGGUGUUAGCCUUCGGUAUUAUUGAAAAUGGUCGUUCAUGGCUAUUUUCGGACAAAAAUGGGGGUUGUGUGGCCAUUGAUCAUCGACCAGAGGCUCAUACACCUCACCCCACAUAUGUUUCCUUGCCAUAGAUCACAUUCUUGGAUUUCUGGUGGAGACCAUUUCUUGGUCAAAAAUCCGUAGGUGUUAGCCUUCGGUAUUAUUGAAAAUGGUCAUUCAUGGCUAUUUUCGACAAAAAUGGGGGUUGUGUGGCCAUUGAUCAUCGACCAGAGGCUCAUACACCUCACCCCACAUAUGUUUCCUUGCCAUAGAUCACAUUCUUGGAUUUCUGGUGGAGACCAUUUCUUGGUCAAAAAUCCGUAGGUGUUAGCCUUCGGUAUUAUUGAAAAUGGUCGUUCAUGGCUAUUUUCGACAAAAAUGGGGGUUGUGUGGCCAUUGAUCAUCGACCAGAGGCUCAUACACCUCACCCCACAUAUGUUUCCUUGCCAUAGAUCACAUUCUUGGAUUUCUGGUGGAGACCAUUUCUUGGUCAAAAAUCCGUAGGUGUUAGCCUUCGUAUUAUUGAAAAUGGUCGUUCAUGGCUAUUUUCGACAAAAAUGGGGGUUGUGUGGCCAUUGAUCAUCGACUAGAGGCUCAUACACCUCACCCCACAUAUGUUUCCUUGCCAUAGAUCACAUUCUUGGAUUUCUGGUGGAGACCAUUUCUUGGUCAAAAAUCCGUAGGUGUUAGCCUUCGGUAUUAUUGAAAAUGGUCGUUCAUGGCUAUUUUCACAAAAAUGGGGGUUGUGUGGCCAUUGAUCAUCGACUAGAGGCUCAUAACCUCACCCCACAUAUGUUUCCUUGCCAUAGAUCACAUUCUUGGAUUUCUGGUGGAGACCAUUUCUUGGUCAAAAAUCCGUAGUGUUAGCCUUCGGUAUUAUUGAAAAUGGUCGUUCAUGGCUAUUUUCGCAAAAUGGGGGUUGUGUGGCCAUUGAUCAUCGACCAGAGGCUCAUACACCUCACCCCACAUAUGUUUCCUUGCCAUAGAUCACAUUCUUGGAUUUCUGGUGGAGACCAUUUCUUGGUCAAAAAUCCGUACGUGUUAGCCUUCGGUAUUAUUGAAAAUGGUCAUUCAUGGCUAUUUUCGGCAAAAAUGGGGGUUGUGUGGCCAUUGAUCAUCGACCAGAGGCUCAUACACCUCACCCCACAUAUGUUUCCUUGCCAUAGAUCACAUUCUUGGAUUUCUGGUGGAGACCAUUUCUUGGUCAAAAAUCCGUAGUGUUAGCCUUCGGUAUUAUUGAAAAUGGUCGUUCAUGGCUAUUUUCGACAAAAAUGGGGGUUGUGUGGCCAUUGAUCAUCGACCAGAGGCUCAUACACCUCACCCCACAUAUGUUUCCUUGCCAUAGAUCACAUUCUUGGAUUUCUGGUGGAGACCAUUUCUUGGUCAAAAAUCCGUAGGUGUUAGCCUUCGUAUUAUUGAAAAUGGUCGUCAUGGCUAUUUUCGACAAAAAUGGGGGUUGUGUGGCCAUUGAUCAUCGACCAGAGGCUCAUACACCUCACCCACAUAUGUUUCCUUGCCAUAGAUCACAUUCUUGGAUUUCUGGUGGAGACCAUUUCUUGGUCAAAAAUCGUAGGUGUUAGCCUUCGGUAUUAUUGAAAAUGGUCGAUUCAUGGCUAUUUUCAAAAAAUGGGGGUUGUGUGGCCAUUUAUCAUCGACUAGAGGCUCAUAAACCUCACCCCACAUAUGUUUCCUUGCCAUAGAUCACAUUCUUGGAUUUCUGGUGGAAACCAUUUCUUGGUUAAAAACUCGUACGUGUUAGCCUUCGGUAUUAUUGAAAAUGGUCAUUCAUGGCUAUUUUCGGCAAAA